CUUCCCCUACCCCCAGGGCGCUUGCUCCGAGCUCCAGGCUCCUGUUAAGUUGCACCGCCGUUGUCUCCCUCUGGCUGUCAGCGUGAUCAUCUACCGGGACCUCAUCAGCCAUGAUGAGAUGUUCUCCAACAUCUACAAGAUCCGGGAGAUUGCGGAAGGGCUGUGCCUGGAGGUGGAGGGGAAGAUGGUGAGUAGGAGAGAGGGUAACAUUGAUGACUCACUCAUUGGUGGAAAUGCCUCUGCUGAAGGCUCCGAGGGCGAAGGUCCCGAAGGCACGGUCAUCACUGGUGUUGAUAUUGUCAUGAACCAUCACUUGGCGGGAAACCAGCUUCACCAAAGAAGCCUGCAAGAUUACAUCAAAGAUUACAUGAAAUCCAUCAAAGGCAAACUUGAAGAACAGCGAUCAGAAAGAGUAAAACCUUUUAUGACAGGGGCUGCAGGACAAAUCAAGCACAUCCUUGCUCAUUUCAAAAACUACCAGUUCUUUAUGGGUGAAAACGUGAAUCCAGAUGGCAUGGUUGCUCUGCUGGACUGCUUGAGGAUGGUGUGACGCCAUAGAUGAUUUUCUUUAAAGAUGGUUUAGGAAUGGAAAAAUGUUAGCAAAUUUGGCUGUUACUUUGGAUCUACACCCGUCAUAACUGGCUGCGGCUUUUU